rnacentral:rRNA from 1 species
GACGAACGCUGGCGGCGUGCUUAACACAUGCAAGUCGAGCGGUAAGGCCCUUUCGGGGGUACACGAGCGGCGAACGGGUGAGUAACACGUGGGUGACCUGCCCUCAGCUCUGGGAUAAGCCUGGGAAACCGGGUCUAAUACUGGAUAUGACUCCAUGACGCAUGUUGUGGGGUGGAAAGCCUUGUGCGGCUGAGGAUGGGCCCGCGGCCUAUCAGCUUGUUGGUGGGGUGANGGCCUACCAAGGCGACGACGGGUAGCCGGCCUGAGGAGGGCGACCGGCCACACUGGGACUGAGACACGGCCCAGACUCCUACGGGAGGCAGCAGGUGGGGAAUCUUGCGCAAUGGGCGAAAGCCUGACGCAGCGACGCCGCGUGAGGAUGACGC